rnacentral:rRNA from 1 species
AACGAACGCUGGCGGCAGGCCUAACACAUGCAAGUCGAACGGUCCUUCGGGACAGUGGCGCACGGGUGAGUAACGCGUGGGAACCUACCCAUCGGUGGGGGAUAACCUCGGGAAACUGAGGCUAAUACCGCAUACGCCCUUUGGGGGAAAGAUUUAUCGCCGAUGGAUGGGCCCGCGUCCGAUUAGGUAGUUGGUGGGGUAACGGCCCACCAAGCCUGCGAUCGGUAGCUGGUCUGAGAGGAUGAUCACCCACACUGGGACUGAGACACGGCCCACACUCCUACGGGAGGCAGCAGUGGGGAAUAUUGGACAAUGGGCGCAAGCCUGAUCCAGCCAUGCCGCGUGGGUGAAGAAGGCCCUAGGGUUGUAAAGCCCUUUCGGCGGGGACGAUGAUGACGGUACCCGCAAAAGACGCCCCGGCUAUCUUCGUGCCAGCAGCCGCGGUAAUACGAAGGGGGCUAGCGUUGUUCGGAAUCACUGGGCGUAAAGCGCGCGUAGGCGGUUCGCC